rnacentral:lncRNA from 1 species
CUAAAAGACAAAAUUUGAUCUCCAUCACCGCUGCAUCUUCACACUACCGAAAAUCAUCUCUAUCUACGUUUUUGUAAUCUCCUUUGUUAUCGUCGAGCACCAGUCCCUGGUAACACACACAUCUAUUCUAUUUUACUCUUUUUAUCUGAAAUUGAAUUGAAUUUUGUACACCAUGAAGGACGGUUGUUAGCAUGUAAGAUCUAAGUUUAUUACGUCACCUCAUUGAAUCGAAUUAAAAUUGUGAUUUUUCUUGUUUAAUAUUCUCUCUUAUGUAUCCGUCGUAUUGUGAAAUGGGCACCUCAAAAAGGAGUUUUGGCACAUCCUCCAGUUGUAGCAUUUUGGAGUAACCAUGGUUGGAAUUCAACAUUAGAAAAUAUUAUUUAAAGGGUUCCCAUGAUCUGUAGGAUAUGAAUGUGAGUGCAACAUCACCAUUUAACAAUAAGAAUUUUACAGAUUUCGUUUAUUCGAUAUUAGACUUUCAUGUCAAUAUGUUAUUCCCUGUACAAAAUUUUUGUCUUUGUUUGAUCACCAUUCUCACCUCAUGAUAUUGAAGUUUCAGUUACAGUAACGAAGACAUAUUCCUAGAGUUGCACUGAAGUUUGUAAUCUGACUGUUUUCUUACUGUAUUUUUAUACUACUUUAGAGUGAAUACUGAAAAUUUUAUGUAUUUAUUUAUUAAUUUAUCAGAUAUGUAAAAAAAAUUAAGUACCAUAGGGUGUUUGUUGGCUUGUAUUGUACAGAGAGAUAUGGAUAAUAUUUUGUAGUGGUUUACUAGUUUCUCAAGAACAAGGAAGAACUCUUGAACUACUUUUUGAGAUUUAUGAAUUUAUUGAGCUUUACAUGAUUCUUUUGAUUCAUAUACAAAGGUAUAGAGAGUAUAUGAACACUUAAUAAACUAUCAUCCGUUGCACAUACACUUAUAACUCUUCCUAGAUCAUUUAUCUACCCUCUAAAUCCUAAUAUUGUAAGAUAAAGAUACUAAUCAUAGGCAUAAUGAUGUUAACAAUUUUGUUAACUAUAUAUUAAUUACUUUGUUUAAUAUUUUUGCUAUUCAGCGUUUGAUAUAGUUAAGGGCACACACGUGACAAUGCAGUGUUAAAGUGUUUCUUUCUUAUAUUAUCAUGAAUUUGAUAAGGAUUUGGGGCAAAAUUUGAUGCACACCAUUGUUGUUUUAGAACAAAGUUGUUGUGAGUUCUGUUCUUAAGCUACGAACAAUAUCUUGCAGCAAGUGUUAUUUGUUUCAAUGAUAAUUGAGAAUGUUUAAAAUGGAUCGAUAUGUCUAUAAAAAAUGAAGGGGUACUAACAGGUAUACUCGUUUGUUUGAGUUAUUUGUUUGCCACUUAUAGUAUCAACUCAAGGUUUAUUUAUGUUGCUUUAUUUUGUCUCUUGUUUCGUCGGCUUCUUCUCCAUUUUCUAGUUUGCUUAGUUCUUUUCUUAUGAGGGAUAGAAUCUUGUUACAUAUUAUCUAGAUAUCAGGCCUAAUUGUAUGAUUUUUAGCAUACACGUAACAAAAUGUGUUAAAAUACACAUGUCAUACAAGUUGAGGAUGAUUCUUCCAUGGUGCAUCAAUAUACGUUCUAACAUCUUCAGAUGAGGAUGAUGUUUCCUCCAGUUUUACAUGUGCGAUGUUAAUUUGGUACUAUUACAACUUAAUGCAGCUAGAUAAUUAGAUCAUUUUGGAUAUGGAACUAUGAAAAUUAGAGGUCGCAACAGAUUGGAAAUUCAACAACGCGAUGAAGAGGAUAUGUGAUAGCAUAUUGAGAAAUCGAUGGGUUGCCUGAACUACUCUCGAGCUGAACCUUAUAUUGAUCAGUUGAUAAAUAGUUAGAAUCUCACUGAAACCCAAGCACAUGAUGGUUAAUAUAAUGAGUUUAAUAGUUCUGUUUGUGGCACUAAUGUUCAACAUAAGGUCGAAUCAGGUAAUAUAAUUUUUCUUCUUAUCUAAUCUAUUAUAUACAAGAGCUUCAUAUUUAACUCUCUUAUUUGUUCUCUGUUUUAAACAAUGCCACGAGAUUGUUGUUUAUUUUGAUUUAGAAAUGAUUGAAGGAUAUUAAAGAUCUUGAGUUAUAUUUUAUUGUUAAGAAAAAAAAAUCUCAUUUAUAAGUUUUCCCUAUUGAAAUUCAGAUAUACGAGAGGAAUAAGAUGUGUUUCUUCCUUUCAUUGAUAAGUCUUUGGAUAUCUAGAGGAAAAACAAAAAUGAGAUAUAUAGUUUUAGGUAUUUGCCAUAAACUUUCAACUUCUAUACGUUGGUCAACAGCUCGCAUGCAAACGAAAAAAAAUAUGUUGGAUGAGAGUUUCCCCUAUUCUUGUGCUAUUCUAGUUACCAUGUGGGGCUGAAAAUGUUGCUAAAAGAUUAUCACUAAUGGUAUAUAUGUACAAGUUCUUUUUAAUAGUAUGGAAUGAAAAUUAGGACUGCAUGUAGAUAUAAGUAUAACUUUCAAGAAAAUGUGAUAUUGUGAAUCUGCAAAGGUCACUUCAAGCAUAUGUCUCACAUAGUAUAGUCACUUCUAUUUUCCAGAUAUGAUGAGCUUAGCAGUAAUGAACCAUUGUUGUUCUCAAUUCAAGGCAUGAAGCCUUUCACAGACAAACUAUGAUGGUAAACAAGUGUUGAUCUCAACUUAUGGAGGGGAAAGGAAAUGAAAAAUAAAACAUAUUUGUAUCUAGUUGCUUUGGUAGAGAUUUGAUUUUUAACUAAUGUUCACGAUCUGAGUGAACUAAGUAGGAUCCCUUUUGGGGAAAGUAUGUCAAUGCAUUUGAGAAUCAAAGGCAAAAUUUUGCCACUGUGCCGUUCAGAGAGUUUAAAAGAGAUUUUUCACUGUGUGAGUUGUGUCCUCAAAUAGAAAUAUUUUUUCAGUUUCUAUGUCCUUCAUUACACCUUCUGCGAAUAGCUCCUCCUGGAUUUGAGCCAGUUUACUUCCCUUUAGCAUAUGUGUUGGUUGAGACUUCGAAUCAGUUGAUAUUACUUUGUUUCUUGGUGAAUAUAGAGAACUAGAUCCUUUUUUGUUACCUUUGGGAUUGUAUAGGAUCAAACUCAAGUAGAUGAUGUAGUUAAUUAAACUUCUGGAGGUAUUAUGUUAAAUUAGGGUGUCAUGAGAUGCACUUUGAAUAUGCUAGGAGAUGCAACUUUUGCUGAAGUAAUCGAGAGCAGAUUUAUUGCUUUACCUAAAAUCAACUAUCCGUUUCUCUGUAAUACAUGAUAUCUUGUAAUUGUUGACAUAUAAUUUUUGCAGAAGAAAUUUUAUGUCCCAAAGCAUGGAUACGUGUUUAUCUUAAAUUUUACAAGGAAAGAAAUGGAAAGAUUACAAAUGCGAUUUAAAAGGUGGAUUAUAUGUCAAAGUAUAAGACUAAAGAUGCUCUGCUAAAUAAUAGACCAAGUUGCAUACUGAGGAAGCAAUGAAGUUGUACUGUCUCUUAUUGGCUUUCUAAUAAAAAUAAGGGUUCAAAAAAUGUUUAAAUUAUACUCCUAAUUCCUUUUUUCAUAGUAUUUUGAUUUUAGUUAUGCUCAAUUUUUAUUUAUAACUUUAAGAUAUCAUGUCAAUGAUUCAAUUUUCAGUGGCAGAGAUGUACCCAAGCAAACAAAAAUAAUAGGGCCAAGCACAAGAUGUCUCAAAUAGGACGAUUCAAAAAUAUUGUUACCUAGAUAGAUGAGCAGGU